GUCCUCUUGAACUAAUAUUUUGAGGUCUGGCCUGCUCACUGAAAAUUUUAAAGAGCCGCGGUAUUUUGACCGUGCAAAGGUAGCAUAAUCAUUAGUCUUUUAAUUAAGGGCUGGAAUGAAUGGCUUGACGAGAAAUUAACUGUCUCUUAAUAAUUUAUAUAAUUUAACUUUUAAGUCAAAAGGCUUAAAUUUUUCUUUAGGACGAGAAGACCCUAUAGAGCUUGACAUUUUAUUUAUAUAUAGUUUUUAUUUGGUCUUUCUAUAUAUAAUGAUAAUGUUUUGUUGGGGUGACAUGAAGAAUAAAUAAACUCUUCAUUAUAAAAUCAUUUAUUUAUGUUUAUUUUGAUCCAUAAUUUAUGAUCAUAAGAUUAAGUUACCUUAGGGAUAACAGCGUAAUUGUUUUUGAGAGCUCAUAUUAACAAAGCAGAUUGCGACCUCGAUGUUGGAUUAAGAAAAGUUUUGGGUGCAGUAGCUCAUUAACUAGGUCUGUUCGACCUUUAAA
rnacentral:rRNA from 1 species